rnacentral:rRNA from 1 species
CACGUAGUUAGCCGGAGCUUAUUCUACAGGUACUGUCUUUUUCUUCCCUGUCUAAAGCAGUUUACAAUCCGAAAACCUUCUUCCUGCACGCGGCGUCACUGCGUCAGAGUUUCCUCCAUUGCGCAAUAUUCCCGACUGCUGCCUCCCGUAGGAGUCUGGGCCGUAUCUCAGUCCCAAUGUAGCCGUUCAACCUCUCAGUCCGGCUACUGAUCGUCGACUUGGUAGGCCGUUACCCCACCAACUAUCUAAUCAGACGCAAGCCCAUCUAUCAGCGGAUUGCUCCUUUCCCUUUUGCAACAUGUGUUGCUAAGGCAUAUGCGGUAUUAGCAGUCAUUUCUAACUGUUGUUCCCCUCUGAUAGGCAGGUUGCUUACGUGUUACUCACCAGUCCGCCACUAAAGCCAUUGUGUAAGUCAACUUUUCACUUUUCUUCGAACAAGUUCUCUGUCCAUUGUCUAUAUCAUUACAACGUACUUCCGUUCGACUUUGCUAUGUCUUAU